UACGUAGGGUGCGAGCGUUAAUCGGAAUUACUGGGCGUAAAGCGUGCGCAGGCGGUUUUGUAAGACAGGCGUGAAAUCCCCGGGCUCAACCUGGGAAUGGCGCUUGUGACUGCAAAGCUGGAGUGCGGCAGAGGGGGAUGGAAUUCCGCGUGUAGCAGUGAAAUGCGUAGAUAUGCGGAGGAACACCGAUGGCGAAGGCAAUCCCCUGGGCCUGCACUGACGCUCAUGCACGAAAGGCGUGGGGAGCAAACACGG
rnacentral:rRNA from 1 species